UUGUAAUAUACAUGUGCAAAACGUGGGUUUUACUAACAAGUUAGUUUUGUCCGUUAUUCAUUGGUGAAUAAUUGUUUAAGCCCGCCUGAUAUCUACGUAAUGUGAAGUUUGAUUGGUUCUUGAGAGUGGAGGGGAAAAGGAGAGAAGAAGAAAGAAAGCGAACGGGACAGGUGUGUGUCAAAGCGCGCCGUUGUAUGUGUGAGAGAAUCGCGAUUAAUCCGGAUAGGAUUGAUUGAUUUUAUUUAUUUUUUAGCAACGAAAAGUAUUGAAAUAGUUUAUUUAGCAGUAUUUGUUUUGUUUUCACAAAGUUCGCUGGCUGUAAGCUGAAUGCUGAGUUAACUUUCUGUUUGUCAGUACACUUGUGUGAGUUCCAGACGAGUUAGUGCUUACUACAAACGAAAUAGUGAUUACUAAAGUGAACUUUUAAUAUCAACGUGAAUAACGGUGAUAAGGAGAAGUUUAGCGACUGGACAUCCAGGUAGCGCCCUGAAUUACCGAGAGAUUCAGGGUUCCCCUGGCAACGAGGGAUCGCGAGGUUCGUUAGGACGUGCAUAUCAGUGAGAACGAGGGAUUAAAGUUUCCUAACAAGGGAGGACUCUUCACUACGGUUAAGAAGACUGAAAAUUGAAUUGUCGCACAGAAGAAAAGUCAAACAGCUUUGGAAUGACAUGAAGGAUUCCUCAUUUCACAGUCCUGAACUCCAAUGAAUCGAAACCUCAAACAAAGUGAGAGAAAAUGAGAGGGAGAAUGAGACCGAUCCCAUUUUUUUUCCGCUCGCAUUCUGCGUUUGGUCAUCGAUUGCCACCGCAGCACUGACAGCAUGCAGCCUCCUCUCACAGUAGCUGGAUAUAUUAGUCAGAUGUGCCAUUGUCUCAUCAGGUCUCAUUCAUCUGUCACUUGCUUCACACCUUGCACUUUCGCCAGUAACAACUGUUAUUUUUGUUCAUUGUCCUAACUGAGGGAAAACAUUUUAAACAACAACAGUUAAAUACAAGGCUUUCUUGGAAACAUAGUAAAGAUGUAAAAGGAACUCAAAAUGUCAUGGUAAGAAUUACAAAGACUUGCAACACUAAGUU